GACCUGGCGGCAGGCCUAACACAUGCAAGUCGAGCGGUAACAGAUUGAUAGCUUGCUAUCAAUGCUGACGAGCGGCGGACGGGUGAGUAAUGCCUGGGAAUAUGCCCUGAUGUGGGGGAUAACUAUUGGAAACGAUAGCUAAUACCGCAUAAUCUCUUCGGAGCAAAGAGGGGGACCUUCGGGCCUCUCGCGUCAGGAUUAGCCCAGGUGGGAUUAGCUUGUUGGUGGGGUAAUGGCUCACCAAGGCAACGAUCCCUAGCUGGUCUGAGAGGAUGAUCAGCCACACUGGAACUGAGACACGGUCCAGACUCCUACGGGAGGCAGCAGUGGGGAAUAUUGCACAAUGGGGGAAACCCUGAUGCAGCCAUGCCGCGUGUAUGAAGAAGGCCUUCGGGUUGUAAAGUACUUUCAGUUGUGAGGAAGGCAGUAAAGUUAAUAGCUUUGCUGUUUGACGUUAGCAACAGAAGAAGCACCGGCUAACUCCGUGCCAGCAGCCGCGGUAAUACGGAGGGUGCGAGCGUUAAUCGGAAUUACUGGGCGUAAAGCGCAUGCAGGUGGUUUGUUAAGCAAGAUGUGAAAGCCCGGGGCUCAACCUCGGAACAGCAUUUUGAACUGGCAGACUAGAGUACUGUA
rnacentral:rRNA from 1 species